rnacentral:rRNA from 1 species
GACGAACGCUGGCGGCGUGCUUAACACAUGCAAGUCGAGCGAUGAAGCUCCUUCGGGAGUGGAUUAGCGGCGGACGGGUGAGUAACACGUGGGUAACCUGCCUCAUAGGGGGGAAUAGCCUUCCGAAAGGAAGAUUAAUACCGCAUAAGAUUGUAGUUCCGCAUGGAACAGCAAUUAAAGGAGUAAUCCGCUAUGAGAUGGACCCGCGUCGCAUUAGCUAGUUGGUGAGGUAACGGCUCACCAAGGCGACGAUGCGUAGCCGACCUGAGAGGGUGAUCGGCCACAUUGGGACUGAGACACGGCCCAGACUCCUACGGGGGGCAGCAGCGGGGAAUAUUGCACAAUGGGGGAAACCCUGAUGCAGCAACGCCGCGUGAGUGAUGACGGUCUUCGGAUUGUAAAACUCUGUCUUCAGGGACGAUAAUGACGGUACCUGAGGAGGAAGCCACGGCUAACUACGUGCCAGCAGCCGCAGUAA